AUUGAACGCUGGCGGCAGGCCUAACACAUGCAAGUCGAGCGGAGCGGCGGACGGGUGAGUAAUGUCUAGGAAACUGUCUGGUAGUGGGGGAUAACGCCAGGAAACGGGCGCUAAUACCGCAUACUAUCAGAUGUGCCCCGAUGGGAUUAGCUAGUGGGUGGGGUAAAGGCGCACCAAGGCGACGAUCCGUAGCUGGUCUGUGAGGAUGAUCAGCCACACUGGAACUGAGACACGGUCCAGACUCCUACGGGAGGCAGCAGUGGGGAAUAUUGCACAAUGGGCGAAAGCCUGAUGCAGCCAUGCCGCGUGUGUGAAGAAGGCCUUCGGGUUGUAAAGCACUUUAAGUGGGGAGGCGUUACCAGCAGAAGAAGCACCGGCUAACUCCGUGCCAGCAGCCGCGGUAAUAC
rnacentral:rRNA from 1 species